rnacentral:rRNA from 1 species
UACGUAGGGUGCAAGCGUUAAUCGGAAUUACUGGGCGUAAAGCGUGCGCAGGUGGUUCUAUAAGACAGAUGUGAAAUCUCCGGGCUCAACCUGGGAACUGCAUUUGUGACUGUAGAGCUGGAGUGCGGCAGAGGGGGAUGGAAUUCCGCGUGUAGCAGUGAAAUGUGUAGAUAUGCGGAGGAACACCGAUGGCGAAGGCAAUUCCCUGGGUCUGCACUGAUGCUCAUGCACGAAAGCGUGGGGAGCAAACAGG